rnacentral:tRNA from 1 species
GCGGGCGUAGUUCAGCGGUAGAAUAGUGGUCUCCAAAACCUCCGGCUCAGGUUCGAAUCCUGCCGCCCGUG